GGGCGAUUAGCUCAGUUGGUAGAGCACUGCUUUCACACGGCAGGGGUAACUGGUUCGAAUCCAGUAUCGCCCA
rnacentral:tRNA from 2 species